GGAAUGUGGCUCAGUGGUAGAGCAUUUGCCUAGCAUACACAAGGUCCUGGGUUUAAUCCCUAGCACCA
rnacentral:tRNA from 1 species